ensembl:lncRNA
UGGACACUGAUGAUUUGGUGUAAGAUAUUGAACUUAUAAUAAAUGGGACAGUGUGUACUGUUAACAUGACUAUACAGAUAAGUCAAAUCUUUUAAUUAAAACAAAUGCAAAUAAAGAUUUAAAACCGACCAUAAGAAGUUUCUCAUGCACGCAACGUGCCUGUGCGUUUCAGCAACCGGCGCAGAGCGAGACCACGGAGACCAGAAGGAGCUCUCGCUCUGCCGCCCAGUCCACCCAGGGCAAAAUGAAGGUACGCGGACUUCCUGUGCGCUUUUAAUUCCUCUCGUUUCCUCGUUCUGCACUGUGUUUUAUGAGCUCUGGAUCACAGAGGAAAUGAGCGCCGUCACGUGUUCAUACAGCGCUGUACGUCUUCCUUCCUUACGAAACUGUACAGUUACGUUUUCAUUUUCCAUAUAAACAUAUGGUACUUUAAAAAAAAAAAAAAAAAAAAAAAUGAGUUCUUGUUUUUUAAAAUUUAGAUGCAGUGCCUUGAGAAAGUAUUCACCCCUUGGUGUGUUUCCUAUUUUGCCACAUUAUAACCUGGAAUUAAAAUGGAUUUUCAGGGGGGCUGAUUUGGAGAUGGUCGCAGGGAAGGAACCGCGUGUCGCUGAAAUUUAUCACUGCACAAGGGGCUCACACCAGCAAAGGUUUACGAACAGAUUCUGGACUAAAGAGGUGGACCGCUUGCUCUAUGGCAUGACACUACAUCUCCAAAAACCCUCUUCUCAGCCCCAUCUUGGAGUACGAAGUCUCCAGCCUGAGCAACACCCUGACAACCACUACAGGCAGGAGCACACUUAACAGAAUACAUGCCAUAACGCAUCUGAAUGAUCCUGCAAAAAUUAAGUCUAGAAUAUAGCUAAAAUGGGAAUUUUUUUUUUUUUUUUUUUUUUUUUUUUAAAUUAACCACCCUCACUUCCUUCUUUGCCUUAUCCCGAGCUGUAACUAGAAACGGUAACAUUAGAACGAGCAUGUUAAUCCAAACCGGUCAUUUGCAGCUGCACUACUGUCAGAGCUGCUGUUAUUGAAACCAAAAUCAACACCUGAACAGGAGAAUCCAUCAGGAGAACAGUCCACAAAACCAGAACCGGAAACUCAGAGGAUGGAAGAGCGCUAGGGCGAGAAAUAGAUCUGUGGCAGAGGAAGAGGAACAGUUAGACGAACAAAAGAGGAUUAGAGAAGACAUGUGAGGACACUGGAAUCUUCGGGAAGCGAGAGAGGAGAAGAACAACGAGGACGUGAGCGAGUUCAGGCCGUCAAGUAGAGGAGAAGUCAAAUCCAUCUUCAGCCCCCUUAGAAAGCCACGAGCCCUGGCAGCAGCCAGACCUCUCCUGCAUCAAAGACGUCCUGAAGCCCAUAGAGAAGAGUCGCGGCUUGGUGAGAUGCAGCCUGAGACACUGCAGGAACGUGGACGUCCUGGCCGAAGGUUUCAUCUUCUUGAAAAGCGGCGUCCGUGAUUUCAGGGUCUUUAACGAGUGGCCGAUGAUGUGCUGUGAGCUCACAGAGUUCAGAUGAGUCUGUCGAGGCACAUCGCCUGUUUUUAAUUAACAAUUACAUGAAACACAUCACAAUACCAAGGAUACAGUAACCAACCCCCCCAAAAAAAAAUUGCAAAAAUAAACAAAUGAAAUGAGCCGAUUUAAAAAACAAAAAUUCUAAAAAA